rnacentral:rRNA from 1 species
GUUAAGCGACUAAGCGUACACGGUGGAUGCCCUGGCAGUCAGAGGCGAUGAAGGACGUGCUAAUCUGCGAUAAGCGUCGGUAAGGUGAUAUGAACCGUUAUAACCGGCGAUUUCCGAAUGGGGAAACCCAGUGUGUUUCGACACACUAUCAUUAACUGAAUCCAUAGGUUAAUGAGGCGAACCGGGGGAACUGAAACAUCUAAGUACCCCGAGGAAAAGAAAUCAACCGAGAUUCCCCCAGUAGCGGCGAGCGAACGGGGAGCAGCCCAGAGCCUGAAUCAGUGUGUGUGUUAGUGGAAGCGUCUGGAAAGGCGCGCGAUACAGGGUGACAGCCCCGUACACAAAAAUGCACAUGCUGUGAGCUCGAUGAGUAGGGCGGGACACGUGGUAUCCUGUCUGAAUAUGGGGGGACCAUCCUCCAAGGCUAAAUACUCCUGACUGACCGAUAGUGAACCAGUACCGUGAGGGAAAGGCGAAAAGAACCCCGGCGAGGGGAGUGAAAAAGAACCUGAAACCGUGUACGUACAAGCAGUGGGAGCACGCUUAGGCGUGUGACUGCGUACCUUUUGUAUAAUGGGUCAGCGACUUAUAUUCUGUAGCAAGGUUAACCGAAUAGGGGAGCCGAAGGGAAACCGAGUCUUAACUGGGCGUUAAGUUGCAGGGUAUAGACCCGAAACCCGGUGAUCUAGCCAUGGGCAGGUUGAAGGUUGGGUAACACUAACUGGAGGACCGAACCGACUAAUGUUGAAAAAUUAGCGGAUGACUUGUGGCUGGGGGUGAAAGGCCAAUCAAACCGGGAGAUAGCUGGUUCUCCCCGAAAGCUAUUUAGGUAGCGCCUCGUGAAUUCAUCUCCGGGGGUAGAGCACUGUUUCGGCAAGGGGGUCAUCCCGACUUACCAACCCGAUGCAAACUGCGAAUACCGGAGAAUGUUAUCACGGGAGACACACGGCGGGUGCUAACGUCCGUCGUGAAGAGGGAAACAACCCAGACCGCCAGCUAAGGUCCCAAAGUCAUGGUUAAGUGGGAAACGAUGUGGGAAGGCCCAGACAGCCAGGAUGUUGGCUUAGAAGCAGCCAUCAUUUAAAGAAAGCGUAAUAGCUCACUGGUCGAGUCGGCCUGCGCGGAAGAUGUAACGGGGCUAAACCAUGCACCGAAGCUGCGGCAGCGACGCUUAUGCGUUGUUGGGUAGGGGAGCGUUCUGUAAGCCUGCGAAGGUGUGCUGUGAGGCAUGCUGGAGGUAUCAGAAGUGCGAAUGCUGACAUAAGUAACGAUAAAGCGGGUGAAAAGCCCGCUCGCCGGAAGACCAAGGGUUCCUGUCCAACGUUAAUCGGGGCAGGGUGAGUCGACCCCUAAGGCGAGGCCGAAAGGCGUAGUCGAUGGGAAACAGGUUAAUAUUCCUGUACUUGGUGUUACUGCGAAGGGGGGACGGAGAAGGCUAUGUUGGCCGGGCGACGGUUGUCCCGGUUUAAGCGUGUAGGCUGGUUUUCCAGGCAAAUCCGGAAAAUCAAGGCUGAGGCGUGAUGACGAGGCACUACGGUGCUGAAGCAACAAAUGCCCUGCUUCCAGGAAAAGCCUCUAAGCAUCAGGUAACAUCAAAUCGUACCCCAAACCGACACAGGUGGUCAGGUAGAGAAUACCAAGGCGCUUGAGAGAACUCGGGUGAAGGAACUAGGCAAAAUGGUGCCGUAACUUCGGGAGAAGGCACGCUGAUAUGUAGGUGAAGCGACUUGCUCGUGGAGCUGAAAUCAGUCGAAGAUACCAGCUGGCUGCAACUGUUUAUUAAAAACACAGCACUGUGCAAACACGAAAGUGGACGUAUACGGUGUGACGCCUGCCCGGUGCCGGAAGGUUAAUUGAUGGGGUCAGCGCAAGCGAAGCUCUUGAUCGAAGCCCCGGUAAACGGCGGCCGUAACUAUAACGGUCCUAAGGUAGCGAAAUUCCUUGUCGGGUAAGUUCCGACCUGCACGAAUGGCGUAAUGAUGGCCAGGCUGUCUCCACCCGAGACUCAGUGAAAUUGAACUCGCUGUGAAGAUGCAGUGUACCCGCGGCAAGACGGAAAGACCCCGUGAACCUUUACUAUAGCUUGACACUGAACAUUGAGCCUUGAUGUGUAGGAUAGGUGGGAGGCUUUGAAGUGUGGACGCCAGUCUGCAUGGAGCCGACCUUGAAAUACCACCCUUUAAUGUUUGAUGUUCUAACGUUGACCCGUGAUCCGGGUUGCGGACAGUGUCUGGUGGGUAGUUUGACUGGGGCGGUCUCCUCCUAAAGAGUAACGGAGGAGCACGAAGGUUGGCUAAUCCUGGUCGGACAUCAGGAGGUUAGUGCAAUGGCAUAAGCCAGCUUGACUGCGAGCGUGACGGCGCGAGCAGGUGCGAAAGCAGGUCAUAGUGAUCCGGUGGUUCUGAAUGGAAGGGCCAUCGCUCAACGGAUAAAAGGUACUCCGGGGAUAACAGGCUGAUACCGCCCAAGAGUUCAUAUCGACGGCGGUGUUUGGCACCUCGAUGUCGGCUCAUCACAUCCUGGGGCUGAAGUAGGUCCCAAGGGUAUGGCUGUUCGCCAUUUAAAGUGGUACGCGAGCUGGGUUUAGAACGUCGUGAGACAGUUCGGUCCCUAUCUGCCGUGGGCGCUGGAGAACUGAGGGGGGCUGCUCCUAGUACGAGAGGACCGGAGUGGACGCAUCACUGGUGUUCGGGUUGUCAUGCCAAUGGCACUGCCCGGUAGCUAAAUGCGGAAGAGAUAAGUGCUGAAAGCAUCUAAGCACGAAACUUGCCCCGAGAUGAGUUCUCCCUGACCCUUUAAGGGUCCUGAAGGAACGUUGAAGACGACGACGUUGAUAGGCCGGGUGUGUAAGCGCAGCGAUGCGUUGAGCUAACCGGUACUAAUGAACCGUGAGGCUUAACCUUACAACGCCGAAGCUGUU